UACGUAGGCAGCAAGCGUUGUUCGGAAUUACUGGGCGUAAAGAGUGUGUAGGCGGUGCUCUAAGUUCGGUGUGAAAUCUCCCGGCUCAACUGGGAGGGUGCGCCGGAAACUGGAAUGCUUGAGCGUGGGAGAGGAAAGCGGAAUUCCUGGUGUAGCGGUGAAAUGCGUAGAUAUCAGGAGGAACACCUGUGGCGAAAGCGGCUCACUGGACCACAACUGACGCUGAUGCACGAAAGCUAGGGGAGCAAACAGG
rnacentral:rRNA from 1 species